AAUUAAGGAAUGCUGUAAAACUUGAAAGAGAUUUCUUGUAUGCAGAAUGAUGAGGCUGCAGUUCUUGCCUUCCUUUUGGGGUGAGUAGAAAUGUAGAAUUCUCCUCUUCAUGAUGAUUUCCAACAUAAAUUUAAUUAUCAAUUCAAGCAUCUAGAUAACUAACUUGGUCUAUCAUGAGGCUGUGCCACCUAACAAUCUUAUGAUACAUGAAAAUUGUAUGCUAGAAUACUGCUGCAAGUAUAUGGGCACAGAAAUAGCCUCGACAUGAUUGUGUUUGAAAUCAAGUUGAAGCUCGGUGUAACGGAUAGUCCAGGAGAGGGGUCUACAAUACGGCAAAUUACUUUGGACGAGUCCAAAAUCCAUGCAACAUGUUUCUAAAGUAACAUCAGGGAAUCAAAAGCUUACCUCAGAGUGAAGUAUGUUCUAACUUGCUUUAGAGUUAUUUACUUCAAUAACACGUUUUUUUUUUCUUUUUCAAUCUGCACCAGACAUGACACAGAAGAAGACUGAAACUCUUUUGAUAAUACCAAGCCCUGGAGGUUCAACUGGCAGUAAAAGGGUCUGAUCCUGUUAAAAUCAAAGUGGCAAGGAAGACUGUAGACUGAGACUUAAAGGAGAAAGUGGCUACUCUUUUUGAUAAGUUAUAUGUCAUCCACAUAAAGUUUUGGAUAAUGGAAGAGUGAUUUUCUUCACAGAUGUGCACUCUUUCUUUCUCAUUAAGCAGGUGGGUUGGGAGAUAGCAGGUUUGUAAGGCAAAUUUGUUCCAUUCAUGUAAUCAAAAACUGUCUCUCAUUCGCUG
rnacentral:lncRNA from 1 species